rnacentral:other from 1 species
GGCAACCUGCCCGAUGCGAGAACUAUACGGUUCCAUAUUGACCCAACACCUUUUAAAACGGGAGUCGAUUUCCUAAGCGGUGUGCAGACCUCCCGCCCUCCGGGCGGACGUUGGGAGCACUGAAGCGGCGGUUAGACGCCCACCUGCUUUACGGCAGGUCAUUUAUGAACCGUAUACGGUCGGGCGGGGAUUUU